rnacentral:rRNA from 1 species
UAGGGAAUAUUCCACAAUGGGCGAAAGCCUGAUGGAGCAACACCGCGUGUGUGAUGAAGGGUUUCGGCUCGUAAAACACUGUUGUAAGAGAAGAAUGACAUAGAGAGUAACUGUUCAAUGUGUGACGGUAUCUUAACAGAAAGGAACGGCUAAAUACGUGCCAGCAGCCGCGGUAAUACGUAUGUUCCAAGCGUUAUCCGGUUUUAUUGGGCGUAAAGCGAGCGCAGACGGUUAUUUAAGUCUGAAGUGAAAGCCCUCAGCUCAACUGAGGAAUUGCUUUGGAAACUGGAUGACUUGAGUGCAGUAGAGGAAAGUGGAACUCCAUGUGUAGCGGUGAAAUGCGUAGAUAUAUGGAAGAACACCAGUGGCGAAGGCGGCUUUCUGGACUGUAACUGACGUUGAGGCUCGAAAGUGUGGGUAGCAAACAGG